UGGGGAUGUGGCUCAGUGGUCAAGUGCCCCUGAGUUCAAUUCCCAGGGGCACAUGACCACUGAGCCACAUCCCUAGU
rnacentral:miRNA from 1 species